ensembl:snRNA U6 U6 spliceosomal RNA
GUGCUUGCUUCCAUAGCAUAUAUACUAAAAUUGGAAUGAUACAGAGAUCAACAUGGCUCCUGCAUAAGGAUGAUGUGCAAAUACAUGAAGUGUUCCAUAUUUUC